rnacentral:rRNA from 1 species
UACGAAGGGGGCUAGCGUUGUUCGGAAUCACUGGGCGUAAAGCGCACGUAGGCGGAUUUGUAAGUCAGGGGUGAAAUCCCGGGGCUCAACCUCGGAACUGCCUUUGAUACUGCAAGUCUUGAGUUCGGGAGAGGUGAGUGGAAUUCCUAGUGUAGAGGUGAAAUUCGUAGAUAUUAGGAGGAACACCAGUGGCGAAGGCGGCGCACUGGCCCGAUACUGACGCUGAGGUGCGAAAGCGUGGGGAGCAAACAGG